GGGGAUUUAGCUCAGUGGUAGAGUGCUUGCCUAGCAAGCAAAAGGCUCUGGGUUCAGUCCCCAGCUCCG
rfam:Rattus norvegicus chromosome 5, whole genome shotgun sequence.